rnacentral:tRNA from 1 species
AGCAGCGUGGCUCGGUGGAAAGAGCGCGGACUUGGGAGUCAGAGGUCAUGGGUUCGAAUCCCGGCUCUGCCA